rnacentral:rRNA from 1 species
CGGUGGAAUGCGCAGAUAUCAGGAGGAACACCGGUGGCGAAGGCGGGUCUCUGGGCCGAUACUGACGCUGAGGAGCGAAAGCGUGGGGAGCGAACAGGAUUAGAUACCCUGGUAGUCCACGCUGUAAACGUUGGGCGCUAGGUGUGGGGUGCUGUCCAUGUACUCCGUGCCGUAGCUAACGCAUUAAGCGCCCCGCCUGGGGAGUACGGCCGCAAGGCUAAAGCUCAAAGGAAUUGACGGGGGCCCGCACAAGCGGCGGAGCAUGUGGAUUAAUUCGAUGCAACGCGAAGAACCUUACCUGGGUUUGACAUGCACAGGAUCGCCUCAGAGAUGGGGUUUCCCUUGUGGUCUGUGUACAGGUGGUGCAUGGCUGUCGUCAGCUCGUGUCGUGAGAUGUUGGGUUAAGUCCCGCAACGAGCGCAACCCUUGUCCUACGUUGCCAGCGGGUUAUGCCGGGGACUCGUGGUAGACUGCCGGGGUCAACUCGGAGGAAGGUGGGGAUGACGUCAAGUCAUCAUGCCCCUUAUGUCCAGGGCUUCACACAUGCUACAAUGGCUGGUACAGAGGGUGGCGAUACCGUGAGGUGGAGCGAAUCCCUUAAAGCUGGUCUCAGUUCGGAUCGUAGUCUGCAACUCGACUGCGUGAAGUCGGAGUCGCUAGUAAUCGCAGAUCAGCAACGCUGCGGUGAAUACGUUCCCGGGCCUUGUACACACCG